CUCGCGCGAUUGGAGCGGCCGAUGUCGGAUUAGCUAGUUGGUAGGGUAAAGGCCUACCAAGGCGACGAUCCGUAGCGGGUCUGAGAGGAUGAUCCGCCACACUGGGACUGAGACACGGCCCAGACUCCUACGGGAGGCAGCAGUGGGGAAUUUUGGACAAUGGGCGCAAGCCUGAUCCAGCCAUGCCGCGUGAGUGAAGAAGGCCUUCGGGUUGUAAAGCUCUUUCAGGUGGAAAGAAAACGCAUAGGUUAAUACCUUGUGUGGAUGACGGUACCAUCAGAAGAAGCACCGGCUAACUACGUGCCAGCAGCCGCGGUAAUACGUAGGGUGCGAGCGUUAAUCGGAAUUACUGGGCGUAAAGCGUGCGCAGGCGGUGAUGUAAGACAGAUGUGAAAUCCCCGGGCUCAACCUGGGAACUGCGUUUGUGACUGCAUCACUCGAGUACGGCAGAGGGAGGUGGAAUUCCGCGUGUAGCAGUGAAAUGCGUAGAUAUGCGGAGGAACACCGAUGGCGAAGGCAGCCUCCUGGGC
rnacentral:rRNA from 1 species